UUUUUUUUUUUUUUUACAGUUUGGCCCUUUGUUUUUAUAUCUUUUUAUUUGCUUUUUUUUGUUUGGCCUUCAAAUUUUUUAUCAAAUCCUACAAAAUUAUUUUUUGCUCCAACACAAAAUAACUCUUAUUCCACACACCCUUCUUUCACAUUUGACUGUUCGUCCCACGGGUAGAAACAUACUAAGGAUGCAAAACAGAACUUAUGUCAUUUCCGGGUGGAGUUUCGUUUCUGUUUGUCCAAGGAGCCUUGUGUUUGGCGGCUUUUCUAACUGUGAAAUUUGGUGGAAAGAAGGUUUUCUAGCUGGAAUUGAAAGCUAAGGUAUAAAACUCUUCGUAGCAGAUGCAAUGCAAAAUUAUUUUCUAAAUUUGCUGUAUUCUUAAUCUGCAACCAGAGGCUACCGGACAUGAAAUAAGUCCUGUCAGAUGGACAUCGAAAAGGACAGACAUUCUGCAUUUAAUGUUGAAGCUUCUCUUCAGUAUUUUUAUGAACAGAAGAUGCAUUUUGAUGUGGAAUUUAGAACACCUUGUGGGACAAGCUUAUAUGCACAUAAAGUGGUACUUGCCAUCAAAAGUGCUACAUUGGCAGAAAUAAUUUACUGUAAUGAAAACAAUAUCAUUUUUACCGAACCUGAUAACAGUGAUUUUGGAAUAAAACAAAUGAUAAGAUACAGCUAUUACGAUGAAGUGAUUUACCAUUCUGUCUCCGAUGUGUUGGAAAUUUUUAAAGUAGCCAAAACAUUUGACAUAGAACCCAUGGCCAACCAAUGUAUUAAGUAUCUCAAUCAACUAACACUUACUAGUGAAAACGUUUUGGAAAUCCUUGAAGCUGCCAUCACCCUACAUCAAACUGAAUGUGUGGAGAAGUGUACAGACUUUUUACGAGAAAACACUGAUGCUGUUAUUCAGUCAACCUAUUUUCCUAAGGCAAAGCGAGACACUAUAUUAACCAUUCUUCAACUUCAGACUGUUACACUAAGCUCUGAAAUAUUGCUUCUGCAUGCAGUUGCUUCAUGGUUACUUCAGCAAAGCAAUGAAGAACGAGAUAUUUUCUUAUCCAACAUCAACAUCAUGGAUUUUGAUGUGGAUGAAUUUAUAGAUUUUAUUUCACAUUACCCUGAAUUUUUUACUGAUUCUGAAGUUGGGACUAUCCUUGCUAACUUAAAGAGAAAAGGAAUUCGAGAUCUUCCUGCAUUCUGCAAAGCACAGAAUAAAAAAAGAACUUUAAAAAUUCCAGAUAAUAGAGAAACUAAUUCUGAAAAUGUGAUUGAAGAAAGUAAAGUUGAAAUUACUCUCAUUGAUAAUUUCAAAAAUGAAAAUGAUCAAAGUUCUUCAGAAACAAGAAUCGAGGAAGAUGAUAUCUGUAAAGAUAUUUGCCUAUUAUUGGAAAAGCAUUUGCUUGUUGAUGUGCAAAUAAAUUUAAAACUUGGAAACAAACAAAGAGUAUUUUAUGCUCACAAACUUGUAUUAGCUAUGAGAAGUUCACUGCUGGCAGAUGCUUUAUUUGAAAAAUAUGGACACAUCACUUUGCAUGGCAUUAGUGAUUUAGCUCUUGAGCAGAUGAUCAGGUACAGCUAUUAUGAUGAUGUGACUUAUCAUUCUGUUUCUGAUGUGCUGGAAAUUUUUAAAGUAGCCAAAAUAUUUGACGUAGAACCCAUGGCCAACCAAUGUAUUAAGUAUCUCAACCAACUAACACUUAAUAAUGAAAAUGUUUUGGAAAUCCUUGAAGUUGCCACCACCUUACAUCAAACGGAAUGUGUGGAGAAGUGUAUAGACUUCUUACAAGAAAACACUGAUGCUAUUAUUCAGUCAGCUUACUUCCCUAAAGCAAGACGUGACACUAUAUUGACAAUUCUUCAACUUCAGACUGUUACACUAAGCUCUGAAAUAAUGCUUUUGCAUGCAAUUGCUUUGUGGUUACGUCACCAAAGCAGUGAAGAACGAGAUAUUUUCUUAUCCACCAUGAAUAUCAUGGAUUUUGUUGUAGAUGAAUUUAUGGAUUUUAUUUCACAUUACCCUGGAUUUUUUACGGACUCUGAAGUUGUAAGUAUCCUUGCUAACUUAAAGGGAAAUGGAAUUCGAGAACUUCCUGCAUUUUGCAAAGUACAGCCUAAAAAAAGAACAUUAAAAUAUCCAAAUAUCAAAGAAGUUAAUUCUGAAAAUGUUAUUGAUGAAAAUGCAAUAGAAAUUACAGUUACUAGUAAUUCCAGAAAUGGAAAAUAUCAAAAAAACACUGAAGAAAAUGAUUUGGAAAACAACUUUUCUGAUGAUGAUACACCCACUGCUUUAGGGAAAGAUCUUAUACCAGAAGAUUUUAGAGCAGGAGUAUUUGUUCUGCUGCAUGGUAAUCUUGAAUUGAAAAACAUAAAAGGUGUAGAGUUUGUAGUAAUUGAUGAAACAGAGAAGAAAAAUAUUUAUUCACGAUUCGCACCUCUGAAGGAGAAAAGCAUUUUUUUUAAAGAAUUGCUUUCAGUUCCAACUCUUAUUAAUCCUGUUGCUUAUUUUGAAGAUUUGAGCUGCACAGGUAUCAGUCAUAUGCUUAGGAUGAAGUUUGUCAUUUGGUCAGUCCCUUUGAAUAUGCAAGUUACAAUACAUGCAUAGUAAGUCACACACUAAAAUGAUACUGGGAUGACAUGGGGCACCUCACUUGAUCUUUUGGGAGACUUCUCCAUCUGGCAAAUGGCAAUUGAAUAUGCAGACCACACAGGAAGCUUUAUUGCAUAUGUAUAAACAUAACUUACUCGCAGACGUUACACUUCAUGUACAGUCAGAUUCUGGUGACCUAUCUCUGUCUACUCACAAGUUGAUUCUUGCAAGUCGAAGCCCAAAAUUCUUCGACAUGUUCUUUGGGAACAGUUGUCGAGUGUCAUCUAAUGUCCUCAUAAUUCGUGAUGUUUCUGUUUGUGCUAUGGAGGUUCUGAUAUGGUAUAUCUACAGCGGCAAUUUAGAUAUUCAAAACGAGGAAGAUCUACCUGGAAUUGCAAAAGCGGCUUGCAUUUAUGAAAUAGAGAGCUUGAAGCAAGCAUGUAAGAACUUGCUUUCUAACUAUGCUAUUAAUGUACG
rnacentral:misc_RNA from 1 species